rnacentral:rRNA from 1 species
GAUGGCGACCGGCGCACGGGUGAGUAACACGUAUCCAACCUACCCUUUACUCGGGGAUAGCCUUUCGAAAGAAAGAUUAAUACCCGAUAGCAUAAUGAUUCCGCAUGGUUUCAUUAUUAAAGGAUUCCGGUAAAGGAUGGGGAUGCGUUCCAUUAGGUUGUUGGCGGGGUAACGGCCCACCAAGCCUUCGAUGGAUAGGGGUUCUGAGAGGAAGGUCCCCCACACUGGAACUGAGACACGGUCCAGACUCCUACGGGAGGCAGCAUG